AUUCCUCACAAUCGCUCCUUGUGAUGCUGCGGAACCAUGGCAAUUAGGAUUCUCCCAUAUGGGCAAGAGCUCCUUCUCUUUUUGCCAAAGACUCGCCAUCUAUAUUGACCGGGAAGAGGGGGGAGGCUCUUGCGGAAGCCCUGCCCGCCCUUCUCUAUUUUGAGGGAUCCCUCAUCUUGAUGAUUCCAGGCUUCCCGGACUUGUAACAGACAGCUAGGAACAAGAAGAGGAUAAGUAGUCUCUGCCGUAGCAGGUCCUUCUCCUUCCGCUGAGAUGGCCCUCUUUUUUUUUCGCAAAAGACCCCUUAGGGGUCGAGCGCCAGCUCGGGGGGUAAGAUCCUAUCUGAAUGAGUAAGAGCUCGAACUUGGUGUAAGGGAAGGGCUAAA
rnacentral:lncRNA from 1 species